rnacentral:rRNA from 1 species
CAGUCGCCACGGUAAUACGAAGGGUGCAAGCGUUAAUCGGAAUUACUGGGCGUAAAGCGUGCGUAGGCGGUUUGUUAAGUCUGCUGUGAAAUCCCCGGGCUCAACCUGGGAAUGGCAGUGGAUACUGGCAAGCUAGAGUGUGUCAGAGGAUGGUGGAAUUCCCGGUGUAGCGGUGAAAUGCGUAGAGAUCGGGAGGAACAUCAGUGGCGAAGGCGGCCAUCUGGGACAACACUGACGCUGAGGCACGAAAGCGUGGGGAGCAAACAGGAUUAGAUACCCCUGUAGUCCCUGUCUCUUAUAC